CGCUCAAGCGGACCUCUUAUACGUUUCCGUCAUGAGAAACGCGAUCUCGUGACGAGUAGGAGGGCGUGGAGGUCAAGCCUCGAAGCUUUGGUGUGAAUCAGAGUGGAGCGGCCUCUAGUGCAGAUCUUGGUGGAAGUAGCGACUACACAAGUGAGACCCUUGUGGACUGAAGUGGAGAAAGGUUUCGUGUGAACUGCGAUAGGACACGAGUGAGUCGCUCCUAAGCACGUCCCAAACGGGUUUAAAAGCUGCGCUUUUCACGAAGCGCACGACGUUGCGAAAGGGAAUUCGGUUAAAAUUCCGAAACGCGAGCGCGAGAGAUGUACGGCAACGUCUAGCGACUGGGCGACGUCGGGGUGAGCCCUCGGAAGAGUCCUUCUUUUCUUCUUGACGCAAUUGUAUGAGAGCGGAAUCGCUUUACGCGGCGAAGCCCUGAUUAUUGCGGCAGAGCCGAGUCGUUUCGACUCGGUCGAGUGCGCUUGUCACGACCCUUGAAAAGCUCAGGGACCAUUUUCUCUCGACGACGCGGCGUACUAUAAACCGCAUCAGGUCUCCAAGGUGAACAGCCUCUAGUGCAUAGAAGAAUGCGGGUAAGGGAAGUCGGCAAAAAUAGAAUCGUAACUUU
rnacentral:ncRNA from 1 species